rnacentral:rRNA from 1 species
GACGAACGCUGGCGGCGUGCUUAACACAUGCAAGUCGAACGAUGAAGCUGGAGCUUGCUCCGGUGGAUUAGUGGCGAACGGGUGAGUAACACGUGAGCAAUCUGCCCUUGACUCUGGGAUAACUGCGGGAAACUGUAGCUAAUACCGGAUAUGAGGCUCGAAGGCAUCUUCGGGUCUGGAAAGAAUUUCGGUCAAGGAUGAGCUCGCGGCCUAUCAGCUUGUUGGUGAGGUAAUGGCUCACCAAGGCGACGACGGGUAGCCGGCCUGAGAGGGUGACCGGCCCCAAUGGGACUGAGACACGGCCCAGACUCCUACGGGGGGCAGCGGUGGGGAAUAUGGCCCAAUGGGCGAAAGCCUGAUGCAGCAACGCCGCGGGUGGAAUGAAGGCCUUCGGGUUGUAAACCUCUUUUAGCAGAGAAGAAGCGAAAGUGACGGUACCUGCAGAAAAAGCACCGGCUAACUACGUGCCAGCCGCCGCCGUAA